AUUGAGACAGUUUUUAUCAGAUGCUUCUUUUAAUACACAUUUUCAUUUUUCUGAUUGUCAUUUAAAAUGCCUUAUAUUAUGCAGUAAUAUUAUAACAUUUUGUAUUAAUUGAACUAGUAAUAAAGUUGAUUGUUUAUCUCUUAGUAAUUUCUAAAACAUUAUUGAAUGUUGCCAAAGUUAUGGAACUUGUUUUAGUACAGCAUGUGCUUUCUCUGUUAUAGCCAAUUGAGUGCAACUGCAUGAUAGAAACCUUAUAAGGGUGAUAUAUAUAGUUAUAAAUUAAGAAUGUGUAUUGAUAAAUUAGCUAUACAUAUUAAUUUGUGGCACUCAAAGUUUCACAUAGACAUAGAAAUGAAUAAUGUCUUCUGCCACUAUAUGAUGAUCAAACUGUGCAGUUCCAUCUCUAAAUACAAUUGCUGAAUGAAAAUAUGCUUCCUGCAACAGAGCACUCCACAUUUUAUGUUAUCCAGAUUAUUCCCUUUGGAAACAUAAAUUGCUUUUAUGAGGUAUAAAAUUAUGUCUAUUGCAGAACAGGGAUAAGUCAAGUACAUGCAUAAGUGAUAAACAUUCUAACCACUGAUUCAGAACAAAACAAUCUUUUUUUAUAUACAGAACUUUGUACAAUGUGUAGCAAUAAUAAUCAUAUCCAUUUUAUGUUGAAUUUUACAUUUAAUUUCUAUUUUUAAAGUAAGGGAAUUUUUCUCUUAUAUUUUCUUUUUAUCUUUUACAAAGAUGCACACUUUUCUUCAUUCAUACUUAUCUCUAAAACAGAGCAUUAUCUUUUCUACCCUUGUCUUCUAAAGCGGUUCUGUUAGAAAAUGUUUUCUAAUUGAUGAAAUAAUAUUUUCUGGCCAAACAGUGAAUUAUCAUGUAUGUUGUACUGUUUUUUAGAUGCACUACAAUUAUUUGUUUUUCUUCUCUUUAAAAUGUUCAUAGACAUGAAUGAGUAUGUAUUUGUAUAUAUACAUAUGUAGAGACAGAGUAUUUAUACCUCAAGGGAUAAACACACACAUGCACACAGAAUGUUCUCAUAGAAUAAAUAUGCUUAGAGUUUCUCAAAAUAGCAUAACUAUUUUGAUGUACACAGGAGCAUUAUUUGCAUUCUUUAAAAAUUGCAAGUUAAUAAAGACCCAGCAAUUAAAUAUCUACAAAAGAUGGAUAUCUUGUAGUGAGUUUUACACACAGAGUGAUUUGUUAUUAAAUUAUGUUGUCUUUAUAUGAUUGUCAUGUUUUCUUAAGAAUAAACAAUUUAUCAUGUUUUCAUAAACAUAUAUUCAGGAAAUAUGUUAAUAUAAAAAUAUUUGCUGUUAAAAGAUUAUCAAUAUUUGAAUAUUAUUGAUGACAUAUUUCUGUGUAAC
rnacentral:lncRNA from 1 species